UAACAAUUAGUGAUGGACACUUUUCAUUAUUUAUAUAAUUAGUCCUAUAUAGAAAUUAGGUAUAAUUUAUCUCUGGAGGAAAGUAAGAAAAUCAGAGAGGGGCAGAAGGAUUGCGAAGAAGAUCGUAAAGUGGGCCUUCAGGUACAUAUUUCCUCCCUGUUCUCACGUGAAGUUAAUGGAAAAUAAUCCAAGAUUGGAAGGGUUCGGAGGCAAUAAGAAAA